rnacentral:misc_RNA from 1 species
AAGUCGUAACAAGGUCUCCGUAGGUGAACCUGCGGAGGGAUCAUUAACACGUUUCCAUAACGUUUAACUUACUCCAACCAACCGCGUGAAUUAAUUGAAUCAAAAUUCGACCUGUCAGAAUUAGAUCUGCUUGGAAUGCACGGAGUGAUGAGUAUGUCUAAUGAAAGUAUGUAGUGAGCAAUUGCUAUGUAUUUUCAUUCUUCAUACGGUGUCUCCUCGCUGUUGUAUUAUCACAGUUUACUGUGAUAAAUACAAAAGAUCUCUUUCUAAUAGGCUUUUAACUACUUAGUUCCCUUCAUCGCUGGAACGAAAAAACCCCUUUCACCGCAAUAACCAAUCGACUGAUACGCAUAUUCAUGCAAGUGAAAGCUUGUACUGAUAGCGACCAAUUAAUCAAAUAUCUAAGCACAACUCUUAGCAACGGAUAUCUUGGUUCUC